CCUUCCCCGGUCCGACGCGCCGCCUCCCUGGUUCGACGCUCCCUCAGAAGCCUCCCCCUCCGUUCGCCUACAUCAGCGCCUCCUCUGUACACCUGAAUUUGAGUCCGCCCCACCCCUGAAUUUCAAUUCGCCUCGCCGGAGUCGUUGCAGUGGCUGGGCAGAUCUGGCGGGGACAAUAGAGGAUCUGGUGACGACGGCCAAAAUGGCGAUCAUCAUGUCCGGAGGUAACUUGCAGUCGCCCAUGGCGUUCGUCUUCGCCGCUGCCUUGUUCUUGUUGUGGGAUUUUGAGUUUCUCUUGGGAGGCAUUGUGAUUUCGUCGAGGGUUUUGGGAGGCAGCGUAGGAUUGAGGCAACUGAGUUUAUUUGCUGUGAAUGUGAAUGUGAUUGGACAAAAUUCAGGAAAGG
rnacentral:lncRNA from 1 species